rnacentral:lncRNA from 1 species
GAAAGGAUUUUAGUCUUAGAGAAAAGAACUGGCAGAAAGGGUCUGAUUGAAGAAUUAUAACAAAUAAGAAGCAAGUGAUAAAUAGAUCAAGAUCCAGGCCGGGGAGUUAGCUCAGUGGUUCCACUGCCUGCCUCACAAGCGCAAGGUCCUGAGUUCGAUCCCUGGUACCAAAAAAAAAAAAAAAAAAAAAAUCAAGAUCCUAUAUGAAGAAGGAUGCAUGGAGCCACUGGCCUCCCUUUGAACUGGAGAAAGGUCAGGGAGGACAGUAAGGUGGGCCAGCUGCAGGUGAGACGAGAGAUGUGAUAUGCGAUGAGGAUGCCCUCUUGUCCAAGCAGUGCCUUGUUUUCCAGACAGUUUUGAGUUUUUGAACUACUCAAAGAUGAAUACUUUUCUACUUAAGAUGUCUUGGGAAAAUAUCACUCCAGGCAAGGUUCUCAAACUUAUCACAAAAAUAAGACCUGGUUUAAUUGAUAUCUUUCUUUCUUUCAGUGCUAGGAUCAGACCCAGGACCUUACACAUGGUAGGCAAAUGUUCUACCCAUGAGCUGCACCACGGCCCUGAAAUCAGAGAUUCUUGACUCUUUUCUUCUGAAAAGGCCAACUGAGCCCAGGCCUAGAAUAUUUUUUCAGGAUUUGGGCCCAGUGGAAAAAUAAUAGCUCAUUAUCACUCAGUGUGGCUAGUUCAUCACUCUACUUGUAGAUAGUCUCUCCUUUUCCAAAACCCUCCAUAUCCUGCCACCUUGUUUUGGUAUUAGUCCUCAGCCCUUCUUAGCCCAGUUCUUCUUCAGAGGCAGGAGGACAGGGCUCACUCUCUUUGUCUCCCUACUUGUGAGGACAGAGACUCUGGAGGACUUUCACGUGCUGAGAGAACAGAUCAGACCCCAGGGCUCCCCAUUUGUGACUUUGCUACUGACCCCAAUUUGAGCCAAAAAUCUCUUCCAUAUCAAACAUCAAGCCUUGCCUCAGAAGAGGAAGAGCCACCAUUUCUGGGAAAGCUAAGGACAGCAGGCCAGAAAACCAAGCAUUUCCUGGUGGAUCUGAGAGGUGUGAGAAGUGAACUGCUAUGGACAUUGUGGUUUUUACACAGAGCAUUUCUUCAGGGUCAACAUACUCAGUCCCCAACUUCUGGGAAUAUCAGAAACCUCUGGCCCACAAAUGCAUCACAGGUCAGCAGCUCCUACUUGUCCAAACCUGCCUUUCUAAUUUCUUUAAUUUCCUACCUGCAGGAGCACUCCUCAAUAAAUGGUCUAUAUGCAAUUCGGUUUCUGGGUCUGUCUACAGUAACCCAGUAUAAGACAGCGUCCAUCUCCAUGGAUGAGUGGUAUGGAAGGAAUA